rnacentral:rRNA from 1 species
ACCUUACCAGGUCUUGACAUCCUCUGACAACCCUAGAGAUAGGGCUUUCCCCUUCGGGGGACAGAGUGACAGGUGGUGCAUGGUUGUCGUCAGCUCGUGUCGUGAGAUGUUGGGUUAAGUCCCGCAACGAGCGCAACCCUUGAUCUUAGUUGCCAGCAUUCAGUUGGGCACUCUAAGGUGACUGCCGGUGACAAACCGGAGGAAGGUGGGGAUGACGUCAAAUCAUCAUGCCCCUUAUGACCUGGGCUACACACGUGCUACAAUGGAUGGUACAAAGAGCCCGCAAACCCGCGAGGGUAAGCUAAUCUCAUAAAGCCAUUCUCAGUUCGGAUUGCAGGCUGCAACUCGCCUGCAUGAAGCCGGAAUCGCUAGUAAUCGCGGAUCAGCAUGCCGCGGUGAAUACGUUCCCGGGCCUUGUAC